UUCCCUGAUGGUAACCAAAUCUAGAUGUAGGAAUCUGUUGAGCAGGAGAGUGACACAUGUCUUCCCGAAGGCUGUCCAGGCUGCAGUGGUGAUGAAGAAGACACGAUCAUCACCCCGAGAUCGAUCGUAGCGAAUUGGAAAACUCAUGGUGAAUUUGCUUCCACUCCAAGGCAAUGUCGAGGUAUGAAGGGUGCUUGUACUGCCUUCCAAAGUGAAGAGGAGAUGAACAUGGCUUUGCAUAGCUGUUGUUCUAUGCCAACUUACCUACUCUUGCUGGUACCGUAGUGGCAUAUUGCAAAUUUCGUGGACGAACAACUCUAGUCACUAGUGGCUAGUGAGCAACACUAACAGACCAGAAUGCUUCGCUAUCAACUCCUGGCUUUCCAUCGGCAUGGUGUUCAGCUGCAGCGGCAUCUGGUCCGGGGAGUUCAAGUUGCUGGAUGGCUGCACUGACACAGGAUGGGUUUGCGUUGGCAAUGCGAUACGGCAGUCAUCCCACAUCACGAGCUACAUGUUUAUGUAAUUUAUAUUGUCGCUCGUCCAGCAACGUCAAGGCUCUGCAUGUAAACACAGGAGAACACCAUAAUACUACUCAGGGGAUAAUAAUUUCGGAUAUCAAUUUCGUGACAAUUAUUAGAUUCACACAAUAUUCACAACGUAUGCAACACGAUGCUGUCUAUUGACACUACUUCAAACUGAAGUGCUCACUACUCCUCUCCCGUUUUCAUCUCCCUCUACCUUAUGAAUACUCUGCAUUACUGGUUUCGUUUCUACCCUUUCCAUUGCUGCCAGCUCCCAGUCUUUUUCAAUGCACAGCACCACCUUGACAGUCAUUUUUGUGAUUUGAUGUACACAUACUUUGAAGUUCAAAUUCGAAUUACAUGAUCAGAUUUUUGUUCCACA